rnacentral:precursor_RNA from 15 species
CGAGUGGCUCAUUAGAGCCUCUGUCUCUAUAAGCAGCAUCAGGCAGAUAACUUGAUCUAAAGACUAUUUAUUUAUCUGUCCAAGGCUGCAAAUGGAGACAGAGGGAGCACCACUGAUGGAAUC